UACGUGGGGUGCAAGCGUUGUCCGGAAUUAUUGGGCGUAAAGAGCUCGUAGGCGGUUCGUCGCGUCGGCUGUGAAAACCCGGAGCUCAACUCCGGGCCUGCAGUCGAUACGGGCGGACUUGAGUGUUGCAGGGGAGACUGGAAUUCCUGGUGUAGCGGUGAAAUGCGCAGAUAUCAGGAGGAACACCGGUGGCGAAGGCGGGUCUCUGGGCAACUACUGACGCUGAGGAGCGAAAGCGUGGGGAGCGAACAGG
rnacentral:rRNA from 1 species